AAAAAGUCAACCAUGAAAUAAUAUCAUCCCUUGUUUGAAACCUCCUUGAGGCUAUUAUCCUUUUUUUUUGUUUUAAAACUCAUUACAAACCGUGAAGUGAAAAACAAUGUUAUCACCCUAUUCAAAGGGUUGAAAGAGUCUUGUUUGGAGUUAUGUGGAGUUGAAUAAUUAUGUUUGUAAUAUUUCAGAAGUUGGUAGAAAAAAAAAGAAAAUAGAAAAGAAAAAAAUGAAUGAAAAAAAUAGAAGGAUGUAUACAUGUCAAUACAUACUCCUUAUGAAAAGAAAAAAGAAAGAAAUAAAAAGAGAAAGGAGAAGAAAAAUAUGAAUGAAAACAGUUACUAUAGAGUUGUUGAAGUGAACGAAAUAUUUUAUAAAUUCAACUCCUGCGGUUUCUUUCAAGUCUCUUUUGUCUCUUUGAAUUUUAGUCUAGUACCCCCUUAGGAUUUAUC
rnacentral:lncRNA from 1 species